rnacentral:rRNA from 1 species
GGUUGAUCCUGCCGGACCCGACUGCUAUCAGAGUGGGACUAAGCCAUGCGAGUCAACGUAGUAAUACGUGGCGAACGGCUCAGUAACACGUAGUCAACAUGCCCAGAGGACGUGGAUAACCUCGGGAAACUGAGGAUAAACCGCGAUAGGCCAUAAUUUCUGGAAUGGUUUAUGGCUGAAAUCUAUAUGGCCUCUGGAUUGGACUGCGGCCGAUCAGGCUGUUGGUGAGGUAAUGGCCCACCAAACCUGUAACCGGUACGGGCUCUGAGAGGAGGAGCCCGGAGAUGGGCACUGAGACAAGGGCCCAGGCCCUAUGGGGCGCAGCAGGCGCGAAAUCCCUGCAAUAGGCGAAAGCUUGACAGGGUUACUCUGAGUGAUUCCCGCUAAGGGGAUCUUUUGGCACCUCUAAAAAUGGUGCAGAAUAAGGGGUGGGCAAGUCUGGUGUCAGCCGCCGCGGUAAUACCAGCACCCCGAGUGGUCGGGACGAUUAUUGGGCCUAAAGCAUCCGUAGCCGGUACUGCAAGUCUUCCGUUAAAUCCACCUGCUCAACAGUUGGGCUGCGGAGGAUACUACAGCGCUAGGAGGCGGGAGAGGCAAGCGGUACUCAGUGGGUAGGGGUAAAAUCCACUGAUCCAUUGAAGACCACCAGUGGCGAAGGCGGCUUGCCAGAACGCGCUCGACGGUGAGGGAUGAAAGCUGGGGGAGCAAACCGGAUUAGAUACCCGGGUAGUCCCAGCUGUAAACGAUGCAGACUCGGUGAUGGGCUGGCCUUGUGCCAACCCAGUGCCGCAGGGAAGCCGUUAAGUCUGCCGCCUGGGGAGUACGGUCGCAAGACUGAAACUUAAAGGAAUUGGCGGGAAUCUC